rnacentral:lncRNA from 1 species
CCACCAUGGUGUACUAAGGUAGAUGCUGAGGUAGGUAGGCACUGGGAGUAGAUACUAGCGUAGAUACCGAGUAGGUGCUAGUGGGUAGUAGGAUGAAUAACAAGGUAGGUGCAGGAGCACACAUUGCUAAAGUAGGUGCAAGAGUGGCCAAGCUUCAGAAAAGGAUGCAACCAGCUGGCAGCUUUGGGGGCUGAAAACCAAAGCAGCCUGUGCCAUCUGAGGCUCUAACCACUUCACUUGUCCCCACCAGGUGACCCCAGCCUUGUCCCUCAGCCAUGUGGGAACAAUAGAGAAGGCAUUUUUCUCCACAGGAUGGGUGGGACCUCGAACUCAAAUUUCUCCAGCAUCACUAGAUUUCUCGAUGUAACUAAUGAGUCCCGCAGCUGGGCCCUAAGCCAGAGCCUGCAGCUGGGUGUCUAUUGUAAUGAGCUACUGGUGGCACCUCCCUCCGGCUGGCCUGAGGCCAUCGUUAAUGUCCCAGGAAUGGGUGGCCACAGAAUCCUGAGUUUUCCCUCAAGUCUCUUUAAGGGACUCUGCAGCCUGUCACUGCUGUCCAUUCUUCAUUAGGGAUGGCAAGGUGCCAUGCCCAUAUUCCUGGGAGGAAACGGAAUAGCAUUGAGCUAUCCCAUGCCCAUCCAUCCAUUAUAGCAGCUCCGUGACUGAGGCUGUCUCCACAAUUUCUUGUCCCUGGGAGAAUGGCU